UCUUCCUGAUGGUAUUCUACCACUGAAAUUAUUGUUCGAAAUGACACCUGCAGCUCAUCGAGGUAUACCACGAGCUCAUCGAGGUAUACCGCCGUGGUAUGGUAUCCUUCAAUGCAUCGCCAAUCUAACCUAGUUGCAGGGCUGCAACACAUGGUAUGAUUUUGGAUCCAUUGAGGAAUAAUCACCAAGUUGCAUGGGUGGGUUUAUCCAACAAUAAUUUCAGUGGAAGACUACUGUCGAUCUGGAAGA
rnacentral:pre_miRNA from 1 species